AUUGAACGCUGGCGGCAGGCCUAACGCAUGCAAGUCGAGCGGAUGAUGGUAGCUUGCUACCUGAUUCAGCGGCGGACGGGUGAGUAAUGCCUAGGAAUCUGCCUGGUAGUGGGGGACAACGUUUCGAAAGGAACGCUAAUACCGCAUACGUCCUACGGGAGAAAGUGGGGGAUCUUCGGACCUCACGCUAUCAGAUGAGCCUAGGUACGAUUAGCUAGUUGGUGAGGUAAAGGCUCACCAAGGCGACGAUCGUUAACUGGUCUGAGAGGAUGAUCAGUCACACUGGAACUGAGACACGGUCCAGACUCCUACGGGAGGCAGCAGUGGGGAAUAUUGGACAAUGGGCGAAAGCCUGAUCCAGCCAUGCCGCGUGUGUGAAGAAGGUCUUCGGAUUGUAAAGCACUUUAAGUUGGGAGGAAGGGCAGUAAGUUAAUACCUUGCUGUUUUGACGUUACCGACAGAAUAAGCACCGGCUAACUUCGUGCCAGCAGCCGCCGUAAAAC
rnacentral:rRNA from 1 species